rnacentral:rRNA from 1 species
UACGUAGGGUGCAAGCGUUGUCCGGAAUUAUUGGGCGUAAAGAGCUCGUAGGCGGUCAGUCGCGUCUGCUGUGAAAACUCGGGGCUUAACUCCGGGCCUGCAGUGGGUACGGGCUGACUAGAGUGAGGUAGGGGAGACUGGAAUUCCUGGUGUAGCGGUGAAAUGCGCAGAUAUCAGGAGGAACACCGGUGGCGAAGGCGGGUCUCUGGGCCGUAACUGACGCUGAGGAGCGAAAGCGUGGGGAGCGAACAGG